UACGGAGGGUGCAAGCGUUAUCCGGAUUCACUGGGUUUAAAGGGUGCGUAGGUGGGUUGCUAAGUCAGUGGUGAAAUCCCCGAGCUUAACUUGGGAACUGCCAUUGAUACUAUUGAUCUUGAAUACCGUGGAGGUCAGCGGAAUAUGUCAUGUAGCGGUGAAAUGCUUAGAUAUGACAUAGAACACCAAUUGCGAAGGCAGCUUACUACACAGUUAUUGACGCUGAGGCACGAAAGCGUGGGGAUCAAACAGG
rnacentral:rRNA from 1 species